CAGGGGCCAAGGGUAGGGUGAGGGGUGGGGAAAGAAGAGCCAGAGCUGGUGUCUGCAGGGCCAAGUCUCCUAUGCGCGCCACCAACCCCACUCCAAUCCACCCAAGCCCGCUGGCCUUUCCUCCCUCAAAACUCUCAGCCCAGGCCCCGCCCUGCCCCCACCCCAGGGAUCCUGGGGGACCGACACCCGGGCCAGGCUGGGCUUCCAAAGGCCUAAUGCCCCCACUCAACCCAGGCUGCACCUCGGCCACUCUAGGCCCUGCUGCUGUCACCUGUACAUCCUUCCGGAUCUCAGCCUCGCGCUGGGUGGCCACUGCCGGGAGGGGAAAAUGGAUGGCCUUGUGCACAUCCUACCGUGGAAGCUACUGGUCUGACAAUUCCAGGAUGGUCCAGAAAGGCAGAUUUUGAUUCAGUACACAGAACCAUCUUUCAAGAAGUAGAGCCUUCCAAAAUGGCCAACAUCACUAAGUAAAGGAUUCUCCAAACAUUAGAAGCAUUCAAGCAGAAGCUAGACAACCAGCUUGUUGGACUUACCAGAGAUGGCCUAGCAGGGGUAAAUGGAUUGGAUUCAUUACUUCCAAGAUCCUUUCCUUUAUAUAAUAUUAAAUACUCGAAAUGAUAGCACCCUUGUUUCCAUUUUUAAGGAAAGUAACGGAUAACAACGAGCUCGACCAGUAGUCAAAAGACCUACCGUCAAGCUCAGUGACCUCAGGCAUGGCUUCCAGCAAAAUGCUGAGUAGAAACUCUGAUAGUAACAUUCUCGGAUAACGCAUCUAACAUUUUACCCCCAGUAUGACGUUUGCUGUAAGUUUGCAACUCUUCUU